UACGUAGGGGGCAAGCGUUGUCCGGAAUCAUUGGGCGUAAAGAGCGUGUAGGCGGCCAGAUAAGUCCGCUGUGAAAUCUCGAGGCUCAACUUCGAGCUGUCGGUGGAAACUGUCGAACUAGAGUCCGGAAGAGGCGAGUGGAAUUCCUGGUGUAGCGGUGAAAUGCGCAGAUAUCAGGAGGAACACCAAUGGCGAAGGCAGCUCGCUGGGACGGUACUGACGCUGAGACGCGAAAGCGUGGGGAGCAAACAGG
rnacentral:rRNA from 1 species